GUCAAUGGGCAGCAGGUGAGGUUGCUGCCGUGCUCUCCUUCCAGUCGACUCUCUCCUCCAAAGAGAACAGAGCUGCCCCUCGUCUUUCAGCCCAGCUCUCCUGUGUUUUCUCAACACCUCAGUGGGACAAGAAAGACAGAGCCUGCCAGAACCAAGUCGACCUUCCAUCCUGAGCAGAGAGCAGACCUGCCCCUCAUCUCCCAGCCCUGCGUCUGACGUGUUUUCUCAACGCCUCAGUGGAACAAGAAAGGACCGAGCCUGCCAGAACCAAGGCGGGUUGCUGCUCUGUGUUCUGCUGAGUGAAAACCUUUGGUGGUGUCGUGUUAAUAUCAGCAUAUCCCAUGUCUAAUCAUAGGGGUCACCACUGUCUGGUGUCCCCUAGACCAAGCUCAGAAUUUACUGCAGAAAGUCAAGCAAAGUUCCACAUGCCUAUAUGUGCCACAUCUUCUAUAAGCUUUACUCUUUCGGUGGACAUUUCGAUGGUUGUGUGUCUCGGCUACGAAUAAUUCCAACCUGGACCACAGCACCCUGAUGAGGUGCCUAGGAGGCUGCACUCUCAGGAAGAAGGCUUGACCUGGGGACCCCAGCACCAGAAGAUGUAGAAGCUGGGUGACUUUUCCAAGGUCAUCGAGGCCACAGUGUCAGGACACCAUCGAUUGUGUUCCCUAGGGGCUGUGGUCCCUGCCAGAUCAAACCAGAAAAUACAGAUUUACGAGGGGCCUUAAAGAGCAACCAGCCCGGUCAAUUCAACCCCACCACAGUCCAGCCAUGAGAACAGCCAGCUGAGGCUCCAGGAAUGGGAUGGAAGCCCAAGUCAGAGAUAGAGGGCUCCUGCAGAGAGGGCAAGAGGCACUCCAGGAACAUCAUGGGGGUGCACUGCCUGCCACAUCCUCCCAGGUCCUUGAACUCCACCACAAUCCAACCUUGGGACCCAAGCCUGCCCAGUCUCCAGAGAUGUGAUACAAGCCAAGGUUAUUGAACAAGGUCGAGUAAAGUUCUCCAUGCUGAACAUCAGAUCCCUGUGGCACAUUUACUAGAGUUAAAGAUGUCUUUUACAUGCGCAAGGAACCAAGGAAGGGAAGACUCCUUGUGGAUUAUCUGUUACAGCUACAGAUUUCUAUGUAUAUGUUAGAAAUGUUUCUGCGUAUAUGUGUAUUGUAGGAAGGAAAGAAGGAAAUAAACCUUGCAGAUUACCUAAUACAAAUACAUAUUUCUGUGGGUAUGUUAGAGAUACAGAAUUUAGUGCCUAUGUAGAAGGAAAGAAGGAAGGAGAUAAUUUUUCAAUUAUCGAUUCUUGUCUGUAUGUUAGUACUGACCUCCUGAUUCAUCCCUGGCCCUUUUCUUUUUCCUUAUUUUGGAAUUCUUUGUGUUUCAAUCUCAGAGUCUCUUUUUAUAUUGUAAAAUAUUUCCUAUAGAUCUUUUUUUUUUUUAAUUUUACCUAGAAAGGACAUCAUCUGCUAUUUUCUUCUUUUGCUGCUGACUUUGCUUAGUUUAUGAUCCUCCAAGGUUCCUCCUUAUGGGAACCAUUGGCAUAAUUUCAUGGGGUUUUUCAAGUCUGAGUAAUAGCCCAUUGUAUAUAUGUACCAUAUUUCUUCAAGAUUUAAUCUGUCAAUGGAACGUAUCUUUGGUCUGUGUCUUGUCUAUUGGAAGUAGCCCCGCAGUGAAUGUUGGGGUGCAUGUGUCAUUUGAAUGACGGUUUUUCGUAAUAUAGGCCCAGGUGUAGAUAUUAAAAUCCUAGGCUUAGCUCUCUUGAAAUUUUUCAUUGUUGCUUGUGGAGCCUGUCCCUUCUAGAGCCUGUUGCCAAUGUCCAUUCCCAUGGAGCGUGAAGGGGGAUUCCAUCAUUUCUCAGCUCUCUCCCCCAUUUACAGUUUGCAUACAGUUAGGAUAACCCUUCUCUCAGGUGGAAUUUGAUUACUUGUUGUCAUCCUGUAAUAAAUAGGGAUGUUGAGUAUCUUG